GCAGAGCAGCUACAAGAAUUGACAGUCCUGAAGAAUAAAACCCAAGGAAGCCAUUGUUGAAGCAGAGCAGCUACAAGAAUUGACAGUCCUGAAGAACAAAACCCAAGGAAGCCAUUGUUGAGCGAACCAGCUAGCUGACAAUGGUACACACAACCUAAAGGGAAUGAAGCACCCUCUGCUUCUCUUCUCUUGCUCGCGCCGGUGAAGAUCCAGCCGUUGAGUGGGAGGAGAAGAGGCAGAGCUGAGCAACCAACCGGAGGCUGGGACACAAGAAACAAAUUCGCUCAGAUGGCCAUGGCGCACAGGAGGUACUGUCCCUGCACUCUCAGCUGCUUCUUAGUGCUGCUAGUGCCACACCUCUUCCUGUCCUCGUCUCACCAGGAGUCGGUGGCCGCCAUGGAUGUGCCGUCUCCGUCUUCCCUACCACCGGACAAGCAGCAGGUGGCCAUCAUGAUGAAUCUCUCAAGCGCUGUGGGUAGCAGUUGGGCCUCGGGCACAGACAUGUGUAACUGGACUGGAGUCGCCUGCUCACGCUCUACGUCCGGUUCUUACAUGGUCGUGACCAACAUCACUUUGUCCGGCUACGGCAUGUCCGACGCCUCCGUCUUCUCCCCCUUAUGCCUUCUUGACACCUUGCUGUCCCUCGAUCUCUCGAUGAAUUUCUUCACCGAUCUAGGGGACGAAUUAUCCGCCGCUUCUUGCCGCAUGAUGAAGGAAGGGCUGGUGUCGCUCAAUCUGAGCCACAACCAUCUCGACGGUUCUAUCCCUUCAGAUCUUGGAUCCUCAAAAGACCUAGCGAUCCUUGAUCUUUCCUACAACAACCUGUCCGGUGCGGUUCCACCUUCGCUAUGGACCCUCCAGAACUUGACGCAGCUGGUGCUUUCUUACAACAAUCUCUCCGGGCUCGUUCCUAGCAGCAGGCUCCGCCAAAAUCUGCAUGUCGAUAUAGCUGGGAAUCCUUACCUUGUAGUAACUGGGACUGGGACAGGAGGCAAGAACCACGCUCGUAAGAUAACGGCACACAUCGUUGUGGUCGCCAUCUCUGCUGCCGCCAGUGCUCUUGUCGGACUAUGCUUCGUGCUCCUCUGUGUCAGUGCUAUGAUCCCGUCUCCAAACAGAACGUACCACGUCGACAACGUGGUGGUACCACCUUGGGAGGACGACGACUCUCAGACCACCAAUGGCGGCCUCACAGCGCUGUGCUGCUGCUGGCGCACCUGUGCGGCUAUGCUGAGGAAAUAGAAGCAGAACGCAUGGCGAAUCACAGCUUUCCAAGCCCUCAACUUCGAGGCUGCCGACAUACUCCGGGGACUGAGAGAAGAGAACCUCGUCGGCAGCGGCGGCUCAGGGCACGUCUACCGCGUCCCGUACAAGAGCCGGCACGACAGGCGCGUGGUCGGGGUGGUGGCCGUGAAGCAGAUCCCGGUCUUCGGGACGACGUCGCCGGACGAGCUGUUCGAGUCGGAGGCGCGCAUCCUGUGCAGCGUCCGGCACAACAACAUCGUCAAGCUGCUGUGCUGCCUCUCAUGCCCGGAGUCGAAGCUCCUCGUGUACGACUACAUGGACAACGGCAGCCUGGACAGGUGGCUGCACGAAGACUACGUCCUCCGCGCCCGGCACCCGACGGCGAGGGCGCGGCCCGUGCGGCGCGUGCCGCUUGACUGGCCGACGAGGCUCGUGGCGGCUGUCGGGGCGGCGCAGGGGCUGUGCUACAUGCACCACCACUGCUCGCCCCCCAUCAUCCACCGGGACGUCAAGACCAGCAACAUCCUGCUGGACGCGGAGUUCCGGGGCAAGGUGGCGGACUUUGGGCUGGCUAGGAUGCUGAUGCAGGCGGGGGAGCCCAACACCAUGACCUGGGUGGUCGGAUCGUUCGGCUACAUGGCUCCCGAGUAUGCUUACACCAGGAGGGUGAACGAGAAGGUGGAUGUCUUCGGCUUCGGCGUGGUGCUCUUGGAGCUCACGACCGACAGGAACGCCAACGACGGCGGCGACCAUGGUUCCCUGGCGGAUUGGGCGGGGCAUCAGUACCGGUCAGGGGCGAGCAUCGCUACCGACAUCUGCGUCGGGUACGCGGGGUACGCUGACGAGAUCGAGACCGUGUUCAGGCUGGGCGUGAAAUGCACGGCGAGCUCGCCGUCCUCGCGCCCUACUAUGGCGGAGGCGCUGCAGAUUUUGCUCAGAUGCAGCGAGCAGACGCUAAGGAAAAGCAGGCUGGAGUGUGGCACGGAGUAGAAGCUUGCUGCCACAGCGGGUAGCUAGGUCGUGGGAAGCAGCUUUCCAACGGCAAAUCAAUUGACUUAAAAGUUCAAACGCAAGAGUGACUUUUACUACAUUGUCUGAACUCAAGAACUGACAUCUGGUCAUCAGAGAUGUUCACAAACGUCCUGCCACCACUAUUACGCAAAAAUAUGCUUAUAUCCAUUUCUCUAUUUUGUACCCAUAGUCAACUAGCUUCCUCAUGCAUUUAAGACAUUAGAGUUUAAUACUAGCAAUUCUAAGGGUCUAUUUGGUUCAACCGUAGAUUAUAGAAAAAUCUGAUUCUAGCUGUUAGAAAACUGUUGUGAGCUGAUAAUUAUGAAAAAAAACUUAAAUUUGUUUGGUUGAAAUAACUGCCAACUAUAGAUUUUAUAAGAGUGUGACAACUUGUAACAUAGAUGGCAGGAAUGUGAA